UAUGCCCAGGAUCCAUUCUUGCCUAAAACCUUCACUGCUCGACUUUAGAAGUGGGCCUGCUCUAAACAACUCUAAUAAGUUCUGGGAUCAAUCCAGGCAACAGAAGAUAUCAUCAUUUGAAGAUUUUAUAUGCCAUGAGUCAGUCACAGCUCUUGGAGGCCAGGCAAAGAAACAAAGCAAUACACAUGAAAAAUGUCAAGAUUCCUCAGGCACUGGCAGACAUGGAACCACAAACAAGUCACAGAAGAGUAAAGCCUUAUGAAGCAAAUAGACACACAGGUCAUCAGCAGCCAGAGGGAUGAGUGGUACCCUGAGAAAAAGGUGGAGUUCCUAUCGGUCGCUCUAGAUCCUGGGUUGUCUUUAUGCCUUCUGAGAAGACCAACAGACACUGAUCAUAGAAGAAAUACUGCAUUUCAGGAGAGAAUUUCAUCUGCAACACAGUCACAGAGAAACGUGAACAACGCAUAAACGGAAAUGAAGAGAUGCCUUUGGACAUCAAUGAGCAGCACACAGAAAUGGAAUGUUUACACACGGCUUGUCAGACAUAAUCGCUCCAUUCUUCCUGCUAUCCCAUUACUGCGAGCUGAAAGAAGUCAAGCAUGCAGGAGACAAACCAGCUGAACCUUUCCCCACAGAUCCACAUCCCAUGCAAGAGUCCUCCAUCCUGUGUAUCACAUCCGGCAAGGGCCAGGCCAUGCAAGAUCACUCCAAAGGACAGACAGUAACAGUGACAGCCCACAACUGUGGCCAGUGCACGCCUCGGGAGAGCACGUCCUCAGACAAAAGGAACGAUGAUGACAGCUAACAACUGGACAAGUGCAGGACAGGAACGUGAAGUGUCAUUUGUCUUUGUGUCAUUCUACCGCCACACACACCCUCCCCCACCCACUUACAGGAUUUCAACUUCACAACCUGUGUGUGGCCAGCCCACAGAGGCACAGGCAUCCCUUCUUCCCUUUUGUCCUGUUAGAAUAAUCAAAUGAAA